UAAAACUUGUUGUCUAUUAUAUUCUAUCAGUUGUUAUACUGUUGAAGGCUAAGGAUAAUUUAUUCUACAUUAUCUUAGUCAUAAUAAUUCUUACUGGGCUAGUUGAGCUCACCUUUUCUUUCAAUGUUCUCUUCAAGAAAUAAGAAUAUAGCUGGGACUGGUCGGAGAAUGGAUUGACGGUCCGAGAUGGUGGCUAUAGUAGUCCUCACUAUUUUUAUAAAAUAGUAUGAUAAUAAUUGUAAUGAGGAUUCCAUUGAGUGUGGAUAUUGUCUAGAAGGCAAUAUUCGUGUUUAAACUUUCAGCUAUGUUUUGUUAUAUUUUGCACGAUAAUUGUAUAAUUAAGUUUGUAGUUGAGUUAUGUACCAUGUAUCUGGC
rnacentral:lncRNA from 1 species